rnacentral:rRNA from 1 species
AUUGAACGCUGGCGGCAGGCCUAACACAUGCAAGUCGAGCGGAUGAAGGGAGCUUGCUCCUGGAUUCAGCGGCGGACGGGUGAGUAAUGCCUAGGAAUCUGCCUGGUAGUUGGGGAUAACGUCCGGAAACGGGCGCUAAUACCGCAUACGUCCUGAGGUAGAAAGUGGGGGAUCUUCGGACCUCACGCUAUCAGAUGAGCCUAGUUCGGAUUAGCUAGUUGGUGGGGUAACGGCCUACCAAGGCGACGAUCCGUAAUUGGUCUGAGAGGAUGAUCAGUCACACUGGAACUGAGACACGGUCCAGACUCCUACGGGAGGCAGCAGUGGGGAAUAUUGGACAAUGGGCGAAAGCCUGAUCCAGCCAUGCCGCGUGUGUGAAGAAGGUCUUCGGAUUGUAAAGCACUUUAAGUUGGGAGGAAGGGCAGUAAGUUAAUACAUUGCUGUUUUGACGUUACCAACAGAAUAAGCACCGGCUAACUUCGUG